UGGGGAAUAUUGCACAAUGGAGGAAACUCUGAUGCAGCGACGCCGCGUGAGUGAAGAAGGUCUUCGGAUCGUAAAACUCUGUCCUUGGUGACGAAAAAAAUGACGGUAGCCAAGGAGGAAGCCCCGGCUAACUACGUGCCAGCAGCCGCGGUAAUACGUAGGGGGCGAGCGUUGUCCGGAUUUACUGGGCGUAAAGGGUGAGUAGGCGGUAAUAUGUGUCAGAUGUAAAAGGCUAUGGCUUAACCAUAGUUGGCAUUUGGAACUGUAUUACUUGAGUGCAGGGGAGGUAAGUGGAAUUCCUAGAGUAGCGGUGAAAUGCGUAGAUAUUAGGAGGAACACCAGUGGCGAAGGCGACUUACUGGACUGUAACUGACGCUGAGUCACGAAAGCGUGGGUAGCAAACA
rnacentral:rRNA from 1 species